GGUGAGGGCGAGCCAGAGCGACCGCGAGGCUGUGAGAAAGUGGGCGAGUGUGCGAGGGCGCCCGGCCUGGCUGUAGGAGCCGCGGUGGCGGAGGAGGAAGGAGGCGGCUCCCGGCAUCCCGACCCCCUCCCCCUUCUCCGCGGACCGACAGCCCGCCCCGCAGCCCGCGCUUCCCCCGGAGGCCCCAGCUGGGCUCCGCUGGCCGAGAGCUAGGGAGCAGCCACCCGAGCCAGAAAGAGUUUACAUUCAGGAGGAAAUAAUCCAGGAAAAGGAAUAACAGACAGUCAAGAUGUGUAGCUCUGUGGCUGCCAAGUUGUGGUUUUUGACAGAUCGUCGAAUCAGGGAAGAUUAUCCCCAGAAAGAGAUCUUACGAGCAUUGAAGGCCAAAUGUUGUGAGGAAGAACUGGAUUUUAGGGCUGUGGUGAUGGAUGAGGUGGUGCUGACAAUCGAGCAAGGAAACCUGGGUCUUCGGAUCAAUGGAGAACUAAUUACUGCCUACCCCCAGGUGGUGGUAGUGAGAGUACCAACCCCUUGGGUGCAGAGCGAUAGUGACAUCACUGUUUUGCGCCAUCUAGAGAAGAUGGGAUGCCGGUUGAUGAACCGACCUCAAGCCAUCCUGAACUGUGUUAAUAAGUUCUGGACAUUUCAAGAGUUGGCUGGCCAUGGUGUUCCUCUGCCAGAUACUUUUUCUUAUGGCGGUCAUGAAAAUUUUUCUAAAAUGAUUGAUGAAGCAGAAGUACUGGAGUUCCCAAUGGUAGUGAAGAAUACACGGGGUCAUAGAGGCAAAGCUGUUUUCUUGGCUCGAGACAAGCACCAUUUGGCUGAUCUAAGCCAUCUUAUUCGUCAUGAAGCCCCAUACCUGUUUCAGAAGUAUGUUAAAGAGUCUCAUGGACGGGAUGUACGUGUCAUUGUUGUAGGAGGCCGUGUGGUUGGCACCAUGUUACGUUGUUCAACAGAUGGGAGGAUGCAAAGCAACUGCUCAUUAGGUGGUGUGGGGAUGAUGUGCUCAUUAAGUGAACAGGGGAAGCAGCUAGCUAUCCAGGUGUCUAAUAUCCUGGGGAUGGAUGUGUGUGGCAUUGACCUGUUGAUGAAAGAUGACGGCUCCUUCUGUGUCUGCGAGGCCAAUGCAAAUGUAGGUUUCAUCGCCUUUGAUAAGGCUUGUAAUCUAGAUGUAGCUGGUAUCAUAGCGGACUAUGCCGCCUCCCUUCUGCCCUCUGGCCGGCUCACCCGGCGUAUGUCCCUGCUCUCUGUGGUGUCCACGGCCAGUGAGACUAGUGAGCCGGAGCUGGGUCCCCCAGCCAGCACUGCUGUCGACAACAUGAGCGCAAGUUCCAGCUCUGUUGACAGCGACCCUGAAAGCACCGAGCGAGAACUGCUCACCAAGCUCCCAGGGGGCCUAUUCAACAUGAACCAGCUGCUAGCCAAUGAAAUCGAACUCCUGGUGGAGUGACUCCACUGGUAAAUAAUUAACCAACAAAACCCUUGUAAAACUUUCUUUUUCUUUUUUUUCCCUUUCUUUCUUACUUUAUAUUAUUAUUUUUAACCAACUUGCAAUGCUGUUCAUGGAAGAUGCUCAGGAAGAUGAGAGAAAAUUGAGUAGUUAGGAGAGAAGAUAAACUUCUGCAAUUAAGAUGUUACAGACUCUCAUUUACAAAUUUUAUAGAUAGAGAGGCAGAAGAGGUGAGAUACAGAAAAAUGUCUCAGGCUUUCAUAGUUAACCUUUUACUCAAAAAUAUGUAUGUUCUCAGACCAUGAAAAACAUAAUACUUUUUUUUCAUGGUCCCUUUUGUUUUUGUACGGUUGGUACAAAUUUCAGAGUAGCAUAACUUCACAUUGUGUUUCAAAGAUUUGUGAUGGGUAAGGAAAACAUCUACUUAAAUUACAGAAAUUUUUUUAUACAAAUCUGAAAAUUCUGCCUUUACCAUAUUAACUAGCAGGUUUUUGUUCAUAGUUUAUGAAGUCUUGAGGGGCUCUUACUGGGAUUUAUUAUUUUUGUUUUUUCCCUUUAUUUGGGUGGGAGGGCAACAUGAAUAUGACCCAAUAAAGAUGUUUUUAAUGACAAAAUUGGCAUGUUUGCAUGAUAAAAGGGAAAUGAACAGUAUUGCAAUGUCUGGUACACAAAAUAACAUUUACUCUAAUGUAGAUAAAAUUACACUAGUUUAAAAUAUUUGCAUUGACUUGUAUUUGUUAGUGUUUUAGUCUUUUUUGAAAGAUAUAUGCUCUGUUAAUGUUGCAUUUAAAAAAAAAAAAAAUGCAAGUCUAACAUUUCCUGAUCUAUGCCUGCAUCUUUAACAAUGGCCAAAGUGAAGAAAAUGCUACCUUUUUUUUUUUUGUUAACAAGACACUGACUUGAAAUGUACAUUUAAAGCCUUUUAUUUUAUUUUUUUCUUUUGGUGGUUGGACAUAUAAAGAAUAAGGUUAAGGAAACAUUUUUUGGGGGCAAAUCAAGGGCCUAUAAAUUCUUAAGUAUAAAGCUGAAAUGAUUUCUAAUCUCAGCAUUAUAUGUUUGCAUUUUUCACAUUUUAGGAGGGAGUAUAUAUGUGUGUGUGUGCACGAAUGCAUGUGUAUGUGUUUUGCUUUUUGUUUACACCAACCAAUCAAAAAUGAUAGAUUCUAGAAAAUGGAGCAUGAUAGGAAACACAUUUUUUUACUUUAAAAAGGAGAUGAGUUGUUUUCAUAACUACUCCACUGGGGUAGAGGUACUCACCUGAAGACAUAAGGAGAAUAGAUGCUUCUUAGGCCUUUUUGUGUAUACGUUGUUUGGUUUGGUUUUUUUUUUGUUUGUUUGUUUGUUUGGUUUUUUUGGUUUGGUUUUGUUUUAUUUCUAGCUAGACUGUUCAGUGUACGAUUCAUUCAAGGCUACGUGCUUUUCAAUGCUUCUGGCUGUGUGUUUUCUCCUAUGACACAUAGGUUUUGGGGUGGGGUGGACUGGAUAUUUUUGUUUGGGGACUUACUUAGCAGUAUUGAGUCUCUUAUAGCCCUACUCUGAAGCCUUCAGUACUCUCCACUCUUUCUAUUCCUUUACUUUUUGAAUUUAUAAAAGCCCCCAAACUACAUAUAAUAUGAGCCUUUAAAACAUGGGUAAAACUAUCCCACUGAUGGUUUGGAAGAUGUGUUAAGAAAUGGUGAUGCUCCAGAGCUCAACAUAAUUUUUUUAAACAGCAAGUUCCAUCUCCUUAACAAUCCUCUGAAGCUUUUACCCAAGUCCUUUCUUGCCUCUCCAGUGCUUUUUUCCUUCAGAUGGACCUUAAACUUAAUUUCUUGGACACUACUAGAGAGACUUCGAGGCAAUAAUAAAAGAUCAGUAUUAACCAGCUCUAACAGAGGUUUGAUCAUGCUUACUUGUACAGUUUUCCCCCCAUUUUAAAAAGGAAUGUAAUAAAAUUUGUUUUUUUCUAUAGAAUGAAAUAAUAUUAAAAUUGAGUGAAAGGUUGAUUGUUGACAAAUAGAAUAGUACCUCUAAUCUGUGCAGUGUUUCAUUUCACCUCAGAAAAAGGAUACACGAGGAGUUUCUAAUUUAUUUUAGGAUAUUUUAAUCUCAUCUAAAAUAAUUUGACUUGCACAUGGUUAUUGUGGGACUUACAUGAGUACCUCUGACUCAACAGAAAGAAAUAACUUGGUAAUUCUUUCACUGAAUGACCAUACUUUGGAGGAUGUAUACUAUUUGGGAUAGGGAAAUAAAUGAGGGAAAAAAGAACUACUUAAUUAAAUCAUCAUUCAUAUGUUUGUGUAGAGACCAUCUGGUUGCCACCUAAUUAUGUUACAUAUACCUUGAAUAGUUACAUAUCACAUGUAUAUAGAUUAGUUUUUAAAACACAGAUAGAAGAGCCUGUCUAUUUGAUGAAGAACUCAAGGUUUGUGUUGGGAGGGAUAAGGCACCAGGAAAAAUGUAGGUAGCCUUUACAAAGUUUUACCAAAUUAACCAACUGUAUUAUAAAAAUACUAGAUUAUUUCACCUUUAGUUUUAUUCACUAUUCAUCUUUUGUACAUUCACACAAUAUUAAAACUUAGCUUUACCAACCUAUUUCUGGAUUUGUAUACUCACAUGUUAGAAUGAAAAGGGAAAGAAUGGUCAUCAUGAAUAUCUUCAUGAAUUCCUUCAAAAAAUAAGGUAAAGAAUAUGAACAAAUCAUUCUGGAAGAAUCCAGAUAUAACAGCUUAGAUAUUUAAGUGAAAGUUAAAUAUAUUUUCAUAUUGUUUAAUAACUUUUGUUUAAUCUUUAUUGCUAUUAUGAGAUAAAAAUGUAUUUAUCAACUAUGUAUAAUCAUGCCAAAAUCUGAAUUACUGUAAAAUUAUUGUGCAUUGUUAAAAUUGUAAUUUUGAAUUGUAUUUUAAAAGUAAUUCUUUCUGAUAUUGUUUUUUGUCACCUAUGAUGAAAACUGGACUAUCUUUAUACAUACACACACUCACACAUAUAUAAAUACGAACUAUUCCAUUUAAAAUUUUUAAUAAUUUUUUUCCUUUUUUGGUGCCUAUAAUUGAUCGGUCAUUUCUGCUGGCUUUUACUCCACUGAACUUUAAAAAUCUUUCUGUAUAUGCUAUUAAUAAGAAAAUACCAUGGAACAUUAUAAAAAUCAUCAAGAGACUUGCUUUCAUCAUGCACUUUAGCAGACUUUUGAGAAGUUAUCGAAGGCAUUGAAAGAAGUAAUUGACUUUCAAAAUCAUCUUUUUCUCAAGAAGAAGCCAAUGGAAAAACAAAUUUUCUUCAUUCAGUGAAUCCCCAGUUUGGGGUCUGGGGAGCCUAGAGACAUUGUGAAAUCAAAUCUUGUGUUAUUUUCUCCUGGCUCACUCUUUUUGAGAAGGUUAAUGGGCUAUAUGGCUGGUGAGACACGAUCCCCUCCUAAGAAAAUGUAGGUGCUCAGACAGGUAACCUCUGCUGCUACUGUUUUUAUUUGUUUGUUUGUUUGUUUAAUUUCAUUUAAAAUUUGUUUUUAUUGUACUAGGAUAUUUUUAAAUGUAAUAUAUUGUAGGAUUUAUAACCAGGUUUAUUGCUUUCUUUUUUUUCUUUAAAAAACAAAACAAAGUUUCAUUUAAGAUACAUUUAGGCGCCUUUGAAGCUUCGAUUUUGGAAUGUUUCAGUAGUGGACAGAAAUCUGCUGUUGGAAUCUUCUAGUCUUCCAGGUUUAAUUUGAAGUUUUUAGUUUUGUUUUGAAUUUUUGUGUGGUAUUUUAUUUCCUUUAUAACAGUGCCCUUUUGCCAUGAUGUUUUGGGGUGGUUCCUAACUCUAGUGAAAAUUCUUUUUAUCUUAAUGAAAGUUUGGUGUUUUGAAUUCCUUAAUGUUUUGCAUUUUUACAAUUGUUUUUAAAGAAAUAUUCUAACUGCUUGCACUAUUACUGUUCUUUGCCAGCCUUUUCAGGAGCCAAAAAAACAAAAACAAACAAACAAAAAAUACCCAGAGAAAAAACUUUCCUUCUUCCCCCUUCCUGAUGAUGAGUGAGAAGUAUUGAGAACUUUCGGGGUCAGUGCCCUUCUAAACUCCCCUUCCCCCAAUAAUGCAGCUGUAUAAUGAGUGGUAAAUGCAGCGGUUUGGAUUCAGGCACAGCCCAGCCUGCUUGCAGGUAAUUUGACUCUUUCUCCUUUCUUUCCAUCACAAGGCUAACUUUAUUUUCCUUUUUAAAAAAUUUAUUUAUGUACUUUAACGGCAACCAUGGGUUUGUAAUAAGUUUCAUUUAAAAAGAAUAAUGUAAAACUCUAUCUAGAAAAUGUGAUUAAAGAACUUUUGGGGUGAAGUUUGAAUUGGUUGGGAUGAUCUCAAGACUUUCAUUGGGGAUGUGCUUUAACCAUGUAGAUAACUCCAUUCCUUGCAUAUAUGUCUAUAAUUAUUUCAGAGUGUGACUUUUUGGCUUUGUUUUUGUUUUGGGUUUGCUUGUUUCUUCCAUUGUGCUAUUCUGGCUUAAGCUUUUUCAGGGGUUGGUGUUCCGAAUACACAGUGAGCUCACAGUAUAAAGACAUCAAUUAGGAGUUGACAGGUAUGGAAAACUAGAGUUUUGAAAAGGUAAAAUUAGGUUCUAGGUUAUAUAUAUGGUAAAAACUCACCAUAGUAUUCAGUUGACUUUAGUGCUUCUCUUUCUGUGACAUCAUUAUAAAAGUGAAAGGGAAUGAUAAGACAAAGAUAGCAGAAAGCAUUUUGGUUAUGGUAGGAGCAACGUGAUUUCAGAACUAAUUUUAGCAUUUCUCAGAUACUAGUUCUAACAGGGAUAGAUGUGAAUAGUUUGAGAUUAUCAUAAAAUAAUGGUUUAAAUAUAAAAAUUACAAGUUUGAACAGAUUGGAGGGCAUUUCUGAAGCACACAAUUGUUAAAUAGAUUAACAGAGACCGUAAAACAAAGUUAGUGGCAGGAAUAGGAAUACAACUUGUCCUUUUUAAUAGCCUUCCUAUUUGUUCAUAUACCACCCCCUUCCUCUGUAGACCCAGUCCAAUUACCCUUUCUGCCUUUUUCCUGUUCUAAAAUUUUAGCUCUGAUAGGAGUUAUUAUCAUUAUGGGAAAUAAUCCUUUUUCUGAUAGGUAGAAUUUUAGUGACAGUAGUCAGACCGUUUCAAGAUACACUUCUGCAUAAUUUUAUCUUGUGCCUUUCGAUGUUCUCGCCAAAGAGGCUAUAAGUCCAGUAAAUCACUAGUGAGUAGGCAGUCUGGCUUCUAAUGUUAUUUCUACACUUAAAGGCAUAAAAUAAAUCAUUAAACUGUUUUGUGCUUUAUUUUACUCAUGUAAGAUAGGGACAGAUAGUUUCUUAACCAUUUUAAGAUAAAAAUACUCAUCCGUUGAACUGAACUUUACUAACAAAGGAAUCCCAACUACACUCCUGCAGGAAUUUGUGAUGUAUACUAAAAAAGGCUUAUACAAGAGAACCUUGUUCUCUUGCUGAUAAGAAUAGCCAGCAUUAGAAUGUGUGGACUAUGUGAUUACAUGGGACAUAGAGAAUUUAACAACGUCCAUUUGGCUGUUCCCAUGAAGAUCACUAACUUGAUAAGAAUGAUCUUGCUUUCACAUUUUAUCAUAUUCACUUAUUAGAUGGGCCUUAUGUAGCAUAUAUACCUGGCUGCUGUUGUGGGGUUCGGGAACAUGAGGGGUGGGGUGAAUUGUUGUUGUUUUAGGUUUCAGUCAGACAGACAUCCCUGUGCCCCAGUUCCCAGAAGCACAGCAGGCCUCUAGGAGCAUCCGUGGGAACGGCGCAGUCCUGACAUCACCAACUCUCCUGCUCAGGCUCAUCCCAUAUACAGAGCAGAGAAAUUGGUAGGUGGCAGCAGAAGAAGGAAUUCUUCAGAUUGAUGGCUAUUGACAAAAUCCACAUAGAAGAGAGAGAGCAUGACAUACCAAGUGAGGUAAAGGCAGCAAAAAGUGGAAACAGCAUUAAGAUUCCUAGAUUUGACUCUAAAUGAUUCUUUCAAAGGAGCCAAUGAUCCUUUUUGGUUAUUAUCUCAUUCACAGAAUGGUUGAAGAUACAUUGAUGGCAUUUUUCAAAUGGAGGAUAGAAAUGCACAGAAAAGGAAGCAAUAAUUCCAAUCCGUUUCAUUCAUUGUGUUUCCUAAAAUAAAAACAUCAGAACUGGAAAUGAAAUAAUAGCAUGGUGUAUGAUUUCUAUCCAUUCCAUCUUAUAGAAUUCUCUUCAGUCCAUAUAUCUAGACUUGAAGUCUAGCUCUGCAUGUGUCAUUCUCUUUAUUCUUUUCUUCAGUUUUUGCAAGAUGAAACCCCUUUGGUUCUUGACUAAUCUCUAUAAUAUAUUCUGAAACACUACUUUUGGUACAUAGACAUGUAUUAAAAUAUGUGUUACAUGGAUUUUGCCCUGCCUCUUUCAUCACAAUUUAUCUGUUCAUGCUGAAUAAUUGUUGCUAUGUUUUUUUUGUUUUGUUUUUGUUUUUGUUUUGAUAAGGCUCUGGCACACGCUUGUCACAACACUGCUUGCUACAUUUUAAUCUUGUAACAAGUGACCAUGUCUGACCUAGUCUAUUUUUUCCCUUCUCAAGUUUUUGGAUUUUUUUUAGUUAAUUGGGGUAACAUUGGUUAAUAAGAUUAUAUGAAUUUUGAGUGUACAAUUCUGUAAUACACUAGCUGUAUAUUGCAUUGUGUGCUCCCACCCAAAGUCAAGUUUCCUUCCAUCACCAUAUAUUUGACCCCCCGUUUCAACAGUAGGGGAUCAGAUACAUACCCCACCCCAAACCUUCAACAAAGAAUGGGCUUUGUAAUCAAAUAUUGACACAGAUUCUAAUUUCGAAAUGUACUGGUUAUACGAUCUUUGGACAAGUCACUUUUUUUCACGCCAUAGUGGGGGAAUAUUUGUAACAAAUGGAAAUAAUUGUACCUACUUUGUUAGAUUAAUGUAUAAGGACUAGCUGUGCUGUAAUACAGGUACAGUGCUGUAAACAUAGAGUAUUCAAUAAAUGCUACUUCUGUAAA